CCCUCCUUGCAGUGUACAAAGAGACAUUUUGUUGGUGGUCUUGUUCUUUUAUCAGUCAGGAGCAAAGCAGAUGGCAGUCCUUUGUUCAUCCUAGCUUGAUGCCUGGCUUGGUGAUCAAAACUCUCUUAUAUCUAGGACUCAUAA